rnacentral:rRNA from 1 species
AACGAACGCUGGCGGCAGGCUUAACACAUGCAAGUCGAGCGCCCCGCAGGGGGAGCGGCAGACGGGUGAGUAACGCGUGGGAAUCUACCCAUCUCUACGGAAUAACGCAUGGAAACGUGUGCUAAUACCGUACACGUCCUUCGGGAGAAAGAUUUAUCGGAGAUGGAAGAGCCCGCGUUGGAUUAGAUAGUGGGUGGGGUAAAGGCCUACCAAGGCGACGAUCCAUAGCUGGUCUGAGAGGAUGAUCAGCCACACUGGGACUGAGACACGGCCCAGACUCCUACGGGAGGCAGCAGUGGGGAAUAUGGGACAAUGGGCGCAAGCCUGAUCCAGCCAUGCCGCGUGAGUGAUGAAGGCCCUAGGGUUGUAAAGCUCUUUCACCGGUGAAGAUAAUGACUGUAACCGGAGAAGAAGCCCCGGCUAACUUCGUGCCAGCCGCCGCCGUAAAAC